GUGGUCUAGUGGUUAGGAUUCGGC
rnacentral:piRNA from 7 species